rnacentral:rRNA from 1 species
CAAGCGGUGGAGCAUGUGGUUUAAUUCGAUGCAACGCGAAGAACCUUACCUGCUCUUGACAUCCAGCGAACUUAGCAGAGAUGCUUUGGUGCCUUCGGGAACGCUGAGACAGGUGCUGCAUGGCUGUCGUCAGCUCGUGUUGUGAAAUGUUGGGUUAAGUCCCGCAACGAGCGCAACCCUUAUCCUUUGUUGCCAGCGAUACGGUCGGGGACUCAAAGGAGACUGCCGGUGAUAAACCGGAGGAAGGUGGGGAUGACGUCAAGUCAUCAUGGCCCUUACGAGUAGGGCUACACACGUGCUACAAUGGCGCAUACAAAGAGAAGCGACCUCGCGAGAGCAAGCGGACCUCAUAAAGUGCGUCGUAGUCCGGAUCGGAGUCUGCAACUCGACUCCGUGAAGUCGGAAUCGCUAGUAAUCGUGGAUCAGAAUGCCACGGUGAAUACGUUCCCGGGCCUUGUACACACC